rnacentral:lncRNA from 1 species
UUCGGUAAGUGCCUAUGGCACGCACCCACAUGGUAAGACUAUCCGUUAAACACAAGGACUUCCCAGCUGCUGACUCUGGCGAGAGGCGGACCUCAAACAAUCUAAAGAUGAACAGGCCAGGCUGCCUGCCUCUGCCUCCUGAGUGCUGGGAUUGAUGGUGAGAGCUCCUUUAAAGCCGUGGCACCGGUGGAAAAUCAGAGCUGGAGCAAGGAGGGCUCUAUACGCGUACGCACAAGUCAAGUCUCUAAGAUGCAGACGAGCACUGAGCAUAAAGGUACAGCGGAGAAAACACUUCAAGAGGAGGAAGCGGGGAGUCCUAUUAUGUCCCUAGUCCAAAAGAUGGGG